rnacentral:rRNA from 1 species
CACGUAGGAGGCGAACGUUAUCCGGAAUUACUGGGCGUAAAGCGCGCGUAGGCGGCUCUGUAAGUCCGACGUGAAAGCUCCUGGCUUAACUGGGAGAGGUCGUUGGAUACUGCAAAGCUCGAGGUUAGGAGAGGAAAGUGGAAUUCCCGGUGUAGUGGUGGAAUGCGUAGAUAUCGGGAGGAACUCCAGUGGCGAAAGCGACUUUCUGGCCUACACCUAACGCUGAAGCGCGAAAGCGUGGGGAGCGAACAGG